rnacentral:tRNA from 1 species
GCCCAAUUAACUCAGUGGUAGAGUAACGCCAUGGUAAGGCGUUAGUCGUCGGUUCAAGUCCGUCAUUGGGCU